rnacentral:rRNA from 1 species
UUAGAGUUUGAUCCUGGCUCAAGAUGAACGCUAGCUACAGGCUUAACACAUGCAAGUCGAGGGGCAGCAUGGUCUUAGCUUGCUAAGACUGAUGGCGACCGGCGCACGGGUGAGUAACACGUAUCCAACCUGCCGUCUACUCUUGGACAGCCUUCUGAAAGGAAGAUUAAUACAAGAUGGCAUCAUGAGUCCGCAUGUUCACAUGAUUAAAGGUAUUCCGGUAGACGAUGGGGAUGCGUUCCAUUAGAUAGUAGGCGGGGUAACGGCCCACCUAGUCUUCGAUGGAUAGGGGUUCUGAGAGGAAGGUCCCCCACAUUGGAACUGAGACACGGUCCAAACUCCUACGGGAGGCAGCAGUGAGGAAUAUUGGUCAAUGGGCGAGAGCCUGAACCAGCCAAGUAGCGUGAAGGAUGACUGCCCUAUGGGUUGUAAACUUCUUUUAUAAAGGAAUAAAGUCGGGUAUGGAUACCCGUUUGCAUGUACUUUAUGAAUAAGGAUCGGCUAACUCCGUGCCAGCAGCCGCGGUAAUACGGAGGAUCCGAGCGUUAUCCGGAUUUAUUGGGUUUAAAGGGAGCGUAGAUGGAUGUUUAAGUCAGUUGUGAAAGUUUGCGGCUCAACCGUAAAAUUGCAGUUGAUACUGGAUAUCUUGAGUGCAGUUGAGGCAGGCGGAAUUCGUGGUGUAGCGGUGAAAUGCUUAGAUAUCACGAAGAACUCCGAUUGCGAAGGCAGCCUGCUAAGCUGCAACUGACAUUGAGGCUCGAAAGUGUGGGUAUCAAACAGGAUUAGAUACCCUGGUAGUCCACACGGUAAACGAUGAAUACUCGCUGUUUGCGAUAUACUGCAAGCGGCCAAGCGAAAGCGUUAAGUAUUCCACCUGGGGAGUACGCCGGCAACGGUGAAACUCAAAGGAAUUGACGGGGGCCCGCACAAGCGGAGGAACAUGUGGUUUAAUUCGAUGAUACGCGAGGAACCUUACCCGGGCUUAAAUUGCAGAUGAAUUACGGUGAAAGCCGUAAGCCGCAAGGCAUCUGUGAAGGUGCUGCAUGGUUGUCGUCAGCUCGUGCCGUGAGGUGUCGGCCUAAGUGCCAUAACGAGCGCAACCCUUGUUGUCAGUUACUAACAGGUUCCGCUGAGGACUCUGACAAGACUGCCAUCGUAAGAUGUGAGGAAGGUGGGGAUGACGUCAAAUCAGCACGGCCCUUACGUCCGGGGCUACACACGUGUUACAAUGGGGGGUACAGAGGGCCGCUACCACGCGAGUGGAUGCCAAUCCCAAAAACCUCUCUCAGUUCGGACUGGAGUCUGCAACCCGACUCCACGAAGCUGGAUUCGCUAGUAAUCGCGCAUCAGCCACGGCGCGGUGAAUACGUUCCCGGGCCUUGCACA